AACGAACGCUGGCGGCAGGCUUAACACAUGCAAGUCGAACGAUGUAGCAAUACAUAGUGGCGCACGGGUGAGUAACGCGUGGGAAUGUACCAUUUGGUGGGGAAUAACUCCGGGAAACUGGAGCUAAUACCGCAUACGCCCUUCGGGGGAAAGAUUUAUCGCCAAAUGAUCAGCCCGCGUGAGAUUAGGUAGUUGGUGGGGUAAUGGCCUACCAAGCCGACGAUCUCUAGCUGGUCUCAGAGGAUGAUCAGCCACACUGGAACUGAGACACGGUCCAGACUCCUACGGGAGGCAGCAGUGGGGAAUAUUGGGCAAUGGACGAAAGUCUGACCCAGCCAUGCCGCGUGAGUGAUGAAGGCUCUAGGGUUGUAAAGCUCUUUCGCCGAUGAAGAUAAUGACGGUAGUCGGAGAAGAAGCCCCGGCUAACUUCGUGCCAGCAGCCGCCGUAA
rnacentral:rRNA from 1 species